CUAGAGAACAGGCAGAGAUACCCCCUGCACUGUGUAAAAUUAUGAAAAAUGUAUCCAUGAGGUCCUGCUAUCGCAGUGGUAGAAGACUCAAGCCAGGACUUUUAGAGCUUGUAGGUGCUGAGGUAAUCAGGAAUGCUUUCACCAAUAUUCCAGUCCUCUGUCUGAGCACACGGUGAGACGGAACUUCUCAGCUGCCUCAAAGGUAAGUGUAGCUAAAUAUCUAGUUUGGGCCAACGGAAAGUGAGUGGCGGUGAUGUGUCAGUUCAAGGCAGAAGUUUU
rnacentral:lncRNA from 10 species